UACGUAGGGUGCAAGCGUUAAUCGGAAUUACUGGGCGUAAAGCGUGCGCAGGCGGUUUUGUAAGACAGGCGUGAAAUCCCCGGGCGUCACCUGGGAAGUGGCGCUUGUGACUGCAAAGCUGGAGUGCGGCAGAGGGGGAGUGGAAUUCCGCGUGUAGCAGUGAAAUGCGUAGAUAUGCGGAGGAACACCAAUGGCGAAGGCAAUCCCCUGGGCCUGCACUGACGCUCAUGCGCGAAAGCGUGGGGAGCAAACAGGAUUAGAACCACC
rnacentral:rRNA from 1 species